UACGGAGGGUGCAAGCGUUAAUCGGAAUUACUGGGCGUAAAGCGCGCGUAGGCGGCUGAGUAAGUCGAUUGUGAAAUCCCCCGGGCUCAACCUGGGGAAUUGUAAGUCGAGACUGCUCGGCUAGAGUGUGGGAGAGGGUGGUGGAAUUCCCGGUGUAGCAGUGAAAUGCGUAGAGAUCGGAAGGAACAUCAGUGGCGAAAAGCGACUUCCUGGACCAAUACUGACGCUCAUGUGCGAAAGCGUGGGGAGCAAACAGG
rnacentral:rRNA from 1 species